rnacentral:rRNA from 1 species
AGUGAACGCUGGCGGUAGGCUUAACACAUGCAAGUCGAACGGCAGCACAGUAAGAGCUUGCUCUUACGGGUGGCGAGUGGCGGACGGGUGAGGAAUACAUCGGAAUCUACUUUUUCGUGGGGGAUAACGUAGGGAAACUUACGCUAAUACCGCAUACGACCUACGGGUGAAAGCAGGGGAUCUUCGGACCUUGCGCGAUUGAAUGAGCCGAUGUCGGAUUAGCUAGUUGGCGGGGUAAAGGCCCACCAAGGCGACGAUCCGUAGCUGGUCUGAGAGGAUGAUCAGCCACACUGGAACUGAGACACGGUCCAGACUCCUACGGGAGGCAGCAGUGGGGAAUAUUGGACAAUGGGCGCAAGCCUGAUCCAGCCAUACCGCGUGGGUGAAGAAGGCCUUCGGGUUGUAAAGCCCUUUUGUUGGGAAAGAAAAGCAGCAGGUUAAUACCCCGCUGUUCUGACGGUACCCAAAGAACAAGCACCGGCUAACUUCGUG